GGAAGGGUCGCCUAGCGGUCUAUGGCGCCGGCCUGGAAAGUCGGUUGGGUGUAACAGCCCUCGAGGGUUCGAAUCCCUCUCCUUCCGCAA
rnacentral:tRNA from 1 species